rnacentral:rRNA from 1 species
CCUACGGGUGGCAGCAGUGAGGAAUAUUGGUCAAUGGGCGCGAGCCUGAACCAGCCAAGUCGCGUGAGGGAUGACGGCCCUACGGGUUGUAAACCUCUUUUGCCGGGGAGCAACGGGCGCCACGUGUGGCGCCACUUAGAGUACCCGGAGAAAAAGCAUCGGCUAACUCCGUGCCAGCAGCCGCGGUAAUACGGAGGAUGCGAGCGUUAUCCGAAUUUAUUGGGUUUAAAGGGUGCUUGGGCGGAUGGUUAAGUAAGUGGUCAAAUUGGGGGGCCAAACCUCUUCCCGCCAUUGAUACUGGCGCUCUUGAGUGGAAGAGAAGUAUGCGGAAUGCGUGGUGUAGCGGUGAAAUGCAUAGAUAUCACGCAGAACCCCGAUUGCGAAGGCAGCAUGCCGGCUUCCGACUGACGCUGAAGCACGAAAGCGUGGGGAUCGAACAGGAUUAGAUACCCUAGUAGUC